AACUCUCAUAAUCUUAAUAAAAAGUAAAAAAAAAAAAAAAUAGCAUAUAAAGUGUGCAACUGAGUGCAUUUGGCACAUUCACAAUCUGUGCAACCACCACCUCUUUAUCGAACUCCAGAGCAUUCCCAUCACCCCAAAGGGAAACCCGGUCCCCAUCAGCAGCCACCCCCAGUACCUCCCCCAGCGCCUGGCAACCACUCUGUUUUUGGUCGUGCAGAAUUCCCUCUUGUGGACACUUCGCAGAAGUGGAACCACGCACUACGUGGCCCUUUGUCCUGGCUUCUUUCACUCAGCACAAGGUUUUUGAGGUCCAUCCACGUUGUCGUGUGUGUCAGUGUGGGCCUCGGGCCACAGACCCCACCAGGGCUCAGGCCACCCCUGGGGGUGCUGCAGCCGUGAGCCCAGGGCUUGGGCCGCCUCGCUGGGCCCUCUGCCCAAGGAAGCUGGCAAGAUCCUGGCCAAGAUCCACAGACACCUCUGGUGGCCAGAAUAGCUGACCCAGGGGCCAGGUGAGGGGGGCGACCCUCAGGGCCAGCCAGCAGGUGCCUCACACCACCGUGACAGUCGAUUUGCUCGGGAGAGGGGACCAAAGGUUGUCCCAAGAGAGGCUGUCUGGACAGACAGUGCUGGAUGACCAGAAUCCCCCUCGCAGCUCUUUCUCCUGGAAGCGACACACGACCAAGACCAGUGAGGGUGUGUGCACGCACGUGAGCACGUGUGCACUUGUGGACAUGCUCGUGAGCAUGCGAGGGUGUGUAUGCAUGCCUGUGAGCCCGAGUGUGAGAGCCCGCCUGCCCAACCUGCCCUGUGCUCCACCUAUGCUCUCCUGUGUGGCCACCCCCGCCCCCCACCCGCCCUGACCUCCCUCGCCCACAGUGCAGACCCUUCCCGGGAUGCGGCACCUUUCAGGACCUCGAAUGUGUGCAAGAGAACUGCAAGGAGGCUAAUUGUGACGGAAAGUCCUGGGCGCCCUAGAAUUCAGGCACGUUGACCAGCCGCGUACGACGGAGUGCUAUGCACUCCGUGAAGCCCCGUGGUGGGUCUACGUGAGGGCGGAGCAACGCCGCUGCAGUUAAGGGAACCGGUGGGCAUAACGUGGGCCCGAGAGGCCGCCGGUGGUGCUUAAAUCCCUGUGCGCACGUUCAUGCAGAGAGCAGGUCCUGCUCGCCCCGCUGGGGGUCAGUGGCUUUUAUGUUCUCUCUUCUUCUCGUGUCUAUUUCCUGAUGUUUGUAUGGUGAGCAGGCCCUGAUUUGGGGACUUCUAAAGUCAUUUUCAGGAAGCAAAGGCGUCCAAGAGGAAGGGUAAUUUUCGAAGGCGUGAGUGGCUGAGGGCACCUGGCUCUGGCUCAUUCGGGAGGCCCCCACUACCUGCAGACUUGGGGUGCCCUGAGGUGGUGUGUCCUCCACCCCUUGGCCCCUGGUGGCCUCCUUCAGAGUUACCCAGGAGCUGCCUGGGGCCUGUUGGCCUUCAGGGGCACCAGUUGAGGUCAUUGGCUCCAGCAAGCCCCCUGGAGUGCAGAGCCGAGGGGCCGCCCUGCACCACCCACAGGACGCACAGGUGCUUGUCUGGAGAAGCGUGUUCUGUGCAGGGGACAGAGGCGCCGUCAAUCUUAAGUCACCAGAAAGCACUUUCAAGACCUGGAGAAACUCUUGACUGGCAGCUUGAGCAACGCAUCUGCUGUGCUCAGGACCCGUGGCCUCGCCUGCGGAGAAGCACAGUCUUUCUCAGAGACACAUCCCUGUGGAGCUGACCAUGCGUGGAGGGGCCCCUCUUUCUGAGGGGUGCCCUGCCUUUGUUCUAGUUGCCAGUGUUCGUGGCUGUGAGGUCUCCCGCGACCCAUGGCCUCCACCGUGCGGUUGGCUAGGACCUUGGGGCCUGAGACCCUGGUCGGGCGGCCUGAUUGUCUGCCCGGGUCUGUCUGGUGGCACGUUGUCCUGGCAUAUGGUGGGCUCUGUGCUGUUGUCUUGCUGGACCCUGGGCAGGAGUAGCCUGGCCUGGGCAGCAGGUGGAUGGCAGUGGUGGCAGUGUGGAGGCCGGCUGUCUGGUCGGUUGUGGGCCUCUUCAGCCUCCUGCCCUCUCGGACGUGGUUUCUGGGCAGACAUCAGCACAGCGGAGCUAUGUCCAGCGAGCUUGGGUCUGCCCACAGGCCGGUGCUGGCCUCUGGGGUCCCUGGGAGGCCGCCACCUGCCCACAUCCUGGCAGCCCCACUCCCAGCCCCUUUAUUCCCUGGGAUCCCAGGAGGGCAUCCCGGGCACCCAUCUCCUCCUGCUCAUCUUCGGUCAGCUAAGGUGUCCCGGAUAAGUGUCCCUGUCAUCCCGAUGACACUUUGCUCCCUUGCGAUCCUUCAGGAAGGCACUGCUGGGCCGAAGACACUGUGCAGGAUGAGGAAAUGGAAGCCCAGGUGAGCAGGAGGGCGAGGACAGUGGGCUGGAUGGAGUGGGACUGACUAAGGCCAGGUGGCAGCCUCCACAUCAGCCCCACCGGCCUUGCUGCCCACCCCGCAGAGACCCCUGGGUGCUGAGGAGGCGCCGGCAAGGCCACGAUUUGUGGGGCACAUGCCCUAACUCAUGGAGGAGCUCCUUCACUCCAGCUGGUCCCAGGCCCUGCCCAGACUGAGGGCUUCCCUUCCUGUGUGCCUUGUACAUCCGGCCCUGCCCAGACUGACGGCUUCCCUCCAUCGUGUGCCUUGUACAUCCGGCCCUGCCCAGACUGACGGCUUCCCUCCAUCGUGUGCCUUGUACAUCCGGCCCUGCCCAGACUGACGGCUUCCCUCCAUCGUGUGCCUUGUACAUCCGGCCCUGCCCAGACUGACGGCUUCCCUCCAUCGUGUGCCUUGUACAUCCGGCCCUGCCCAGACCUGACGGCUUCCCUCCAUCGUGUGCCUUGUACAUCCGGCCCUGCCCAGACCUGACGGCCUCCCUACAUCGUGUGCCUUGUACAUCCGGCCCUGCCCAGACCUGACGGCUUCCCUACAUCGUGUGCCUUGUACAUCCGGCCCUGCCCAGACUGACGGCUUCCCUACAUCGUGUGCCUUGUACAUCCGGCCCUGCCCAGACCUGACGGCUUCCCUACAUCGUGUGCCUUGUACAUCUGACCCUGCCCAGACCUGACCGUUUCCCUGCAUCGUGUGCCUUGUACAUCUGGGCCCAGCCCAGCUGCCGGUCGGGGCACACCUCUGGCCAAUGCAGGUGCGAGGCAUCCGGGCCACACACACACAUUUCAGAGGAGACACAGCCAGCCGUCCGCUGCGGAGACUGCCCGGCUCAGGUGCUUCCCCAAGAAGGUUCCCUUAGUCCUCGAGGAGCCCACAACCACCCUGCACCCCCAGGACAGGGUCCAAAAGGUGCCGGACUUCAGCUGUGUCUGCCAGAUGGGUUUCUGUACCAAGAAAUGGAGACGGGUCAUCCCAGAAGCCCCGGCCAAGGAGGGGAAGCAGAUCCUAGCGCCUCGCCGGUCCAGAGUGAACGGCUGGUCGAAGCCCCUUCACUCCUUCCAGGCGGCGGCCUGGAUCAUGUUCUUGGUCUUGGCCUUCGCCAGCUUCUUCAUCUUCAUUCCCUUGCUGCCACAGGAGUGGAAGUACAUCGCCUACAUUGUGACCGGUGGGCUUUUCUUUUUCCAUUUCAUCGUCCACUUGAUUGCAAUGUCCCUCGAUCCGGCCGAAGACAGCGUCCGCCUUAAGAAGAGCUACACGGAGCCUCUGCCGACCUUCGACCGUUCCAAACAUGCGCACGUGAUCCAGAACCAGUAUUGCCACCUGUGCCAGGUCCCCGUGAGCCUGAAAGCCAAACACUGCAGUGCCUGCAACAAGUGCAUCUCUGGCUUCGACCACCACUGCAAAUGGCUCAACAACUGUGUGGGGACCCGGAACUACUGGUACUUCUUCAGCUCCGUGGCGUCUGCUUCGGCCGGACUGCUCUGCCUGAUCGUCAUCCUGCUGUACAUCUUCACUCAGUACUUCCUGAACCCAGAGGAGCUGCGCACGGACCCCCAAUACCAAAACGUCUCCAGGAAGAACACGUGGCUGCUGUUUCUCCCCCUCUUUCCUGUGAGGACCAGCACCCCAGUGGUCCUGGGCAUCGGGGUGUCCAUGCUGCUGUUGGACAUCAUGACCCUUGUGAUGCUGGGACACCUGCUCAUCUUCCACCUCUACCUGAUGGCCAAAAAAAUGAGCACGUUUGAAUAUAUGACACAGGGCCGCCUCCGACAGGAUGCAAAAACCCCAGAAGCGAAGAAAGGGCCGUCCAUCCAAAUAGAAUUGCCACAGGAAGCAGAUGAAGACCUGAGUCCGUCUGUGCGUGGCAAAGGGAAGCACAAGCAGUUCCUGAGGUUUCCUUGGUGCCAGAACAUAUGCUCCUUAAGCACCGUACACCCAAAGAAAUCCUCGCCGCCAAAGCAAACAGUUGUCGACCCAAAUUCAUCCGCUUCUGGGGUGAAGUCUGAGGAGCUCCCGCCUCCACUUAAGGACCCAAGUCAGUCCUUUGUCGUCACCAUACACCCAGAGAACUCCUCGUCGUUGCUGAAGUUAAGAGCAGAGCCGCUGGGCACCAGCCUCAAAUGCAGGGGGAGAGCCGAAGGUUGGGUCUAAGGCUUCCCCCGAGAACUGAGGAAGCAGACAGCCGACCGAGAACACCUGCUCUUGGCAGAGUGAAGCGGAAGGAGUUCCUGCCGCCACCACCGCUGUUUCUGUCUUCAAGUCUGAGUUCCACCGCUGUCGUCGCCCCAGAGGGCGCCCAGGAGGGUGCUUGGACGCUGAAGGUUGCAAUGGAUCAAGAAGAAACGAAGCAGCCUGGGGAAGGGAACCGUGCUGGAGAUGCAGUUCUGGCUCUCGGUAGGCUGUUGUGCAGUUUGAGUCACGUUGAGACCUACUCCAGGUUCUCUAGAGAGUUGACUGUUUCCUACGGAAAGCCAGCGGAUGGCCAGGGUCCAGGACACUUGUCUCAGCGAAAUGGAGGACAAGCUUGAGCUCACAUGGAGUGUCUGCAAAUAGCCCUGAUAUCCAGCCUGCUUGCCCACCACCUGCUCUGUGUGCCAAAAAGCAGUAGGUCCAAGACGUGCAGCUGGACACUUGGCUGAAGCAUAAGCUUGCAAACCAUCUGCAAAUAGCUGAGAGCUGGCUCAGCAAAUAGCUGAGCUGUGGAACGUCUGAUGGGCAGUGGCGGCCAGCUUACUUAUGGCCACAAACAGCAAGGUCCCAUGGAGAGUUUGGUUAGCAAGUGAAACUGAAGGUCUGAUGCAUUCUACAGAAGCUCAGACUCAGCCUCCGUGUCCUGCCUGUGACGUUUUGAGUAAUUUCAGGUAGAAUCUUCAUUGUUCACAUGUCCUAAUCCUUCCAGAGCUCGUCUGAAAUGGUGUCACCUCAUUUUAAAAAAUACUCAACACUCAAACAGCUGAUGUUUGCUGGACUGACGUCUCGUUGUUGUGCAUUUCUUUACAGUGCACAAUCUGGUCGAGCACGUAACUUUAGUCUGCUCAGCAUGCUGUGUAUGGGCAUCAGCGACUCCUGCUUCUAGAAAGGAGAGGGAGGCUGAGAGGGGUAGUGUGACUUCUACAUAAUUCCGGAAAGAUUUAAGUGAGUUUUAAGGAUUAUAAAAUACAAACCAAUGGUGUAAGUGAAAAAGGGAGGGAAAAAGAAGACAAAUGGCGCCUGAGCCUCAGGGUUCCGGUCAUGGGCAGGUUGAUUCCCAGGACGGAUGGACAUGCAGACAGACGAGCACCGUGGAUGUGUGAGCACUGUGCAUGUGGGGCAAGUGAUCUGAAAGGCUUUCAUGACCACGCAAGACAGGAAGGGGUUCUCAGGCCAGGGACGGAGGCAAAGAGGAAGCCCAAAGACAACCCGGUGGGCACGGAAGCCUCUGCCCCGGGGCGUCUGCCAGCCCUGAUUUUCACAGCUUUACAGGAGGAGAAAGAGAAGACCAAGCUCAGAGCACAGCCAGAAGGGGAGGCCGGUAAGUCAUCCCCUCAAGUUUGGCCCCUGAAAUGGCCAUGCCCUCACUGUAGUGGUGAACCAGAAGGAACCCAAUUCUCCACCCCAAAGGACUUGGGGAUAAUCAGCCAUCUCAGACCGUGGAGCUGAGGAAAAGAAAAGGAAAAGAGAAAAAUCGCUGCUGAGUAUUUGGAACAACAGGCUGUCCCUAACUUUGUGCUGGGUGAGUGGUCCAAAAGAUCGUCCAUCUGAGAAUUCGCAACGAGUCAUUCUUGACUGGCCACUCCCAGAUGCCGAGCAGAAUUCCUCUCUGAGCAACCAACCUUCAUCCCAGGCUUCUUCAUCAGGAUUUUUCACAAAUAAAACUACAAAGAAAAUGAGCAGCUCUCAAUAACACACGACUGGCUCCACAUGGCAACAAGCACUCUGAGUCAGAAUCAACAGAAACUAUAGCAUAAAUGGACACACAAAGAUGCGGGUAUUGGACUUAGCAGAUGGAAACACAAAAUAACUAUCAUUAUUUCAUUUAGAGAAAUAAAAGGCAAUGGUAAAAAUAACUGAAAAGAACAGAAAAGUAGUUUUUAAAUUACCAAGCACAUUUGAAAAAGAACCAAAUAAAACUUAUACAAAUGAAAAAUACCAAGAAAAUUAAAAAGUUAACUGAUAUAUCUAACAAUAUAUUAGGCAGUCGAGAAGUGAAUUAGUGAAUUAGAAUCUAGAACUGGAGAAAUUACUCAAAUACAGAAAGACAAAGAAAUGCAAAAUACGAAGGAAAGUGAAUAGAAUAGAGUUUGAAGUCUGUGAUACGUGUAAUCAGAGUCCCAGAAACAGAGAAGAAAAUCAUGAAGAGACACUAUUUAAAGAGAUGAUGGCUGAGAAUUUACCAGCACUGUCGUAAGAUACCAACUGACAGAUUCACAAAGUCCAGUAAAUCUAACAUGGUAAAUAAAAUUCUAGAUGCAUUGUAAGUAAAGUGACAAACACAUGAGGCAAAGAAAAUAUAUAUUUUUAAACUUCCAGUGAUAAAAGCAGAAUCUCUUCCAAGGAGUUGCUGAUUAACUAACUUCAUUCACACUAGUGGAAACCAGAGCAGAGUUGAAUCAUACCUUUAAUAUGGUGGCGAAAAGUCAAUCUAGGAUUCUAUACAUGGCUAAAGUAUCUUUUAAGAAUGAGGAUGAAAUAGACAUUUCUACAUAUUGGUAAGAAAUGUUAGAAAAAGGAAAAAUAUACCAUUUACUAUAGCAUUUUUUGAAAAUGAGGUCUCUAGGAAUAAACCUAACAAAAGAUGUGCAAGACUUGUGGAGAAAAUUAUAAAACUUAAAGAGAGACAUUUGAAAGAGACCCAAACAAAUGAAGAGAUAUAUAUUGUUCCUGGAGUGUGAGUUACAUUGUAAAGAUGUCAAAAUUCCCAAAUAGAGUCAAUGUGACCUCAAUCAAAACCCCAACUAGUUUUGUGUGUGCGUGUGUCUAUGUGUUUGUAGGCAACUUGAAAAGCUGAUUCUUAACCAUAUGUGGUAUUUGAAAGGGUCAAGAAUAGCCAAGACACUCUUGAAGAAAAGGGGCAAUGUAGGAAGACGUGCCUCACCAUUCCUUUGAAGUUCCAUCCAUUAAAGACACUGGUAUUCUUGCAGAAGUAAAUGUGGAGAUCAGGGAGCUGAUUAGCGCUGCCCGGACAAAAUCCAUCCACACACAGACACUUGGUUUUUGAAGAGUGUGACUGAUGAUAGGAAUAGAUGUUUUAAUAAGAGCUGCUGGAAUAAUUGGUACCCAUGUGGGCAUAACGUUAAUAAAAUUAGCCCCCACCUUGUAGUAUUCACAAAAAUCAAUUCCAUGUGGACUAAAGACAUAAACGUAAAGGACAAACUGUAGAAACUUUUAGAAGAUAAUACUGGAUAACAUCCUUGUGUCCUCAGGGUAUACAGUCGUCCCUCUGCCUCAGCAGGGGAUUUGUUGCAGGACCCUCCAUGGGGGACCCUCCACUACCAAAGUUCACAGAUGCUCAGAGAUCUACAGUUGGCUCUCCAUGUCCACGGGUUCCGCAUCCAAGGGUCAAAAAUACAGUAUACGGGUACAGUCACCCAUUGCUUAACGAAGGAGAUGAGAAAUGCGCCGUUCGGCGAUUUCGUCGUCGUGUGAACAUCAUAGAGUGUACUGACACAAACCUAGAUGGCAUAGCCUUCUGCACACCUAGGCUGUGUGGCACUGAUCUCAUGGGGCCACCAUGGCACAGGUGGUGGGUCGUUGACCAAAAUGUGGUUAUGUGGCGCGUGCCUCUAUUUUCGAUCCACGGUUGGUUGAAUCUGCUGACUGCGUAAGGAUUUGUUAAGUGAGCUCUUUUUAAAGGCACUAGUCAUAAAGCAAGAUAUACAUAAAUUAGAUAACACUAAAAUCAAGAACUUCUGGUUAUCAAAAGAUGCCACUAAAAAGUGAAAAGUCACACCAAAAAUUGGAAAAAUAUUUGCAACACAUAAUUGAGAAAGGACCGGUAUCCAAAAUACAUAAAGAACUAUGACUCAAUAAGAAAGAAGUAGACAAAUGAUUGAACGGGCACUUCGCAGAAGAGGAAACCCAGAAAGCCAAUAAACACGUUCAGAGUGCUAACUGUGUCAUGAAUCGGGAGGCACAGCCUGGAGCCACGUGUGGCAGCACCAUCUGCCCAUCACACUGUCCAUUCCUGGCAACGGUGGGGGCCUGGGAACAUGUGUGACUGGUGGGUUUGAGAUGACGUAGCCACUUUGGGAUGGCAUGACCUUCCUCAGCUGCGUGAGCUAACCAAGGCCCGCCAGGUCAUUCUAGGUGUGUAUCUUAGAGAAAUUCUCCCCUGAGCCCAGCAGGAGAUGGACAACAGUUCAGAAUGGCCCCACGUGGGGAACGACUGGGAUGCUGAGCAGAAGAUGGUAACCUGUGGAGCAUUCGUGAGGGAACGCCGCAGUCCCAGGCCAGCUUCACAGGCAGUGAGAGAAGCAACAAAGUGCCGGCUCUGUGAUUUCCUCUGCACAAAGUUCAGAAGCAGGCCACAGGCAACGCCGCGUUGUUUAGAUGGUGCGGUGUGCGAGUGGUGCGCUAGAGCCGUGUACAAACGGGAGAGUGCUGCCACACAGCCAUCUAUUGGCCAGGGGAUGGGGAGGGGAGGAUGUGACCGGAGACGACACACCGGACUCACAUCCUGGGGUCCCCCUGUGGGCUGUCACCCUCUCAUUAUUCUUUUAAAUGUGCGUAAAUGUUUAUCUACUCUUCUCCAUAUGUGAUGUAUUUCACACUAAGAACAGAAAAUAGCCUGUGUGGACGACGUGUUUGUCUCGCGGGGCUGGCUCACUGGGAGAGGAGGGUUCUGGCCGGGACGCAGCUGUGAGCAAGCCCGGGGUUCUCCCCAGAAAUGGCCCCGCUUCUGGCAAAGGCCAGGACAGAAGGUGCCAGAGCACUGCGCCUCGGUCUUCAGGUCAGGCCGGGCUUGGGGCCCGUGCACUCAGGGCUCCGUGGCCUCUUGCACACCUCACUUAGGGCGCUCAUGGUGACUUUCGUUUGCUCCACAGGAGCCUGGGAGCCCAUGCUGGCAGAGCGUGCCAUCGGGGAACCUUUCUCCCCCAACAUCCUGCCUGGGGAGGCGGCCAUGGAAAACAUUGGGGUCCCAUCCUCGCUGCCCUACAGCAGCCAG